CCUACGGGCGGCAGCAGUGGGGAAUAUUGGGCAAUGGGCGCAAGCCUGACCCAGCAACGCCGCGUGAAGGAAGAAGGCUUUCGGGUUGUAAACUUCUUUUGUCAGGGACGCAGCAAGUGACGGUACCUGACGAAUAAGCUACGGCUAACUACGUGCCAGCAGCCGUGGUAAGACGGAGGCGGCAAGCGUUAUCUGGAUUUACUGGGUGUAAAGGCCGUGUAGGCGGGACUGCAAGUCAGAUGUGAAAACCACGGGCUCGACCUGUGGCCUGCAUUUGAAACUGUAGUUCUUGAGUACUGGAGAGGCAGACGGAAUUCCUGGUGUAGCGGUGAAAUGCGUAGAUAUUAGGAGGAACACCAGUGGCG
rnacentral:rRNA from 1 species